CCCUUAGAUGUUCUGGGCCGCACGCGCGCUACACUGAUGCAUUCAACGAGUCUAAAACCUGGUCUGAGAGGGCUGGGUAAUCUUUUGAAAGUGCAUCGUGAUUGGGAUAGAUGACUGCAAUUCUUCAUCUUCAACGAGGAAUGCCUAGUAAACGCAAGUCAUCAGCUUGCAUUGAUUACGUCCCUGCCCUUUGUACACACCGCCCGUCGCUCCUACCGAUUGAACGAUCCGAUGAAAACUGUGGAUUGAGAGUCUGAGUGGGUUCGCCUACCUCAACUUUCGAGAAGCGGUUUAAAUCUUAUCGUUUAGAGGAAGGAGAAGUCGUAACA
rnacentral:rRNA from 1 species